rnacentral:rRNA from 1 species
CCUACGGGUGGCAGCAGUGAGGAAUAUUGGUCAAUGGACGAGAGUCUGAACCAGCCAAGUAGCGUGAAGGAUGACUGCCCGAUUGGUUGUAAACUUCUUUUAUAUGGGAAUAAAAUGUUCCACGUGUGGGAUUUUGUAUGUACCAUAUGAAUAAGGAUCGGCUAACUCCGUGCCAGCAGCCGCGGUAAUACGGAGGAUCCGAGCUUUAUCCGGAUUUAUUGGGUUUAAAGGGAGCGUAGGUGGAUUGUUAAGUCAGUUGUGAAAGUUUGCGGCUCAACCGUAAAAUUGCAGUUGAAACUGGCAGUCUGGAGUACAGUAGAGGUGGGCGGAAUGCGUGGUGUAGCGGUGAAAUGCUUAGAUAUCACGAAGAACUCCGAUUGCGAAGGCAGCUCACUGGACUGCAACUGACACUGAGGCUCGAAAGUGUGGGUAUCAAACAGGAUUAGAUACCCCAGUAGUC